rnacentral:rRNA from 1 species
CCUACGGGAGGCAGCAGUGAGGAAUAUUGGUCAAUAGGCGAGAGCCUGAACCAGCCAAGUCGCGUGAGGGAGUACUGCCCUAUGGGUUGUAAACCUCUUUUGUCGGGGAGCAAAAGCCGGACGUGUCCGGCUGUGAGAGUACCCGAAGAAAAAGCAUCGGCUAACUCCGUGCCAGCAGCCGCGGUAAUACGGAGGAUGCGAGCGUUAUCCGGAUUUAUUGGGGUUAAAGGGUGCGCAGGCGGAUUUUUAAGUCAGCGGUCAAAUCGUGGGGCUCAACCCCAUCCAGCCGUUGAAACUGGGGAUCUAGAGUGUGCGAGAGGUAUGCGGAAUGCGUGGUGUAGCGGUGAAAUGCAUAGAUAUCACGCAGAACCCCGAUUGCGAAGGCAGCAUACCGGUGCACAACUGACGCUCAGGCACGAAAUCGUGGGUAUCGAACAGGAUUAGAUACCCCUGUAGUC